rnacentral:lncRNA from 1 species
GGGAAGCUGACACCUAGAGAACAACGUGCUGGCGGGGGAAGUGUGUCAGUGUGCGAGGCAGAGCUAUGGCUCUGCUUGACUAAUCUUUUUUGUGGGUUUUUUGUUUUGUUUGUGUUUUGCUUUGUUUUUAUUUAAAACGCUUUAUCUAGAUCUACUACUUUUUUUGGUCUACUUUCUUGCCUGGGACAUAUAUUUCCUCUACGUUAUUAACUUCCAUCACGGAUCUUUUGGACUCGGGACAAGACCUCUGAAUGACUUCUGUAUUGAUAAAGGAAAAAGCGCUACUUGGGCUGUGCCUGGUGAUUUCCUACUUUAUGGCAUCCCUUUCUAAUCUUGGAGGGGCAGAGCUUGCAAUCCCACGUUAAGAGAAAUUCCUGUUCAGCAACUGUGGCUAUCACAGAAUUAUUUGGGAUCAAAGAAUACAGAAUAUGCUCAACAGGGCAAAAAACUUGCUUGGAAAGUAGUGACUUGGAAGCAUGUAAGGAUCCUUAUAGAUGACUGCCUCAACUGUUGGGAAAAAGGGCUAAUGUUGUCCUUUGAUAUAUGUCAAAUAUAUAUAACCAGAGGCAUAGCAGGUAAGUGUCCGGUAGCGAUCUUAUGUUCAUAUAAUAGCAUAAGUGAGACGUUUAGCGCCCAGCAGUGCUA